rnacentral:lncRNA from 1 species
GAACUUCGAUUUUUUUUUGUUAACAUGGGUAUUUUCCUAAACAUAUAUUUGUUAACAUAUCUAUCAGUAACUUCUAGAUAUUAAUUUAUUUUUCAUUUUCGUACACAGGGUAUGCAUUAAACGAGGCAACAUAUGAAUACUACAGGGGAGAGAUACGUAAAGUUAACAUAGUAGCGUUACAAUAGGUAGACAAUAUUCCAAGAGAAAAUAGGAC